rnacentral:tRNA from 4 species
GGGGCCUUAGCUCAGUUGGCAGAGCGCCUGCUUUGCAAGCAGGAUGUCAGGAGUUCGAAUCUCCUAGGCUCCACC